UGGAGGUCUAGAAGGUUUAAAAGUGCUAAUAAACAUUAGGCUUGCGAGUCUCUGCGGAAGCGAUAAAGUUUCAGAUGAGGAAAGUAUGCCGCAAGCGACGAGCGCAACACUUCAGGGACGCUGACGGUUGCCCGGGCGCUGGACCGUUACGCGACAUUUCGAUUGACUAUUUGUUGUUAAUGAUUAAAAAGAACCUUACAACAUCGACAUGGAACUAAUGGAACAUGAAUAAAAUAUCGUACGUAACUCAUAGCCAAAUUAGAAUGAGUCCGAGAUUUCAAGUAAUUUGUCAG